AUUUUCUCUCGAAAAAACGAACUGUCAACACGGCAUGGAACUGGGAUAUUCGUAUCAAAGGGCUCUGAAUGCAGGAAAAUGACUGAAUAUUACUUAGUCAACAACACUGGGUUAUGAAGAAUUCCAGCCUGCAUUAAAUACUAUGUUGGAUCCUUGAGAGCGGAUUUGACAGCCAUGUCCAUCCACAAGGCAGUCGCAUCUGAUCGAGAUGAUCACUAAACAUUCUUGAUGGGUAAAGUACCUGAAGG